rnacentral:rRNA from 1 species
AGCGAACGCUGGCGGCAGGCUUAACACAUGCAAGUCGAACGCCCCGCAAGGGGAGUGGCAGACGGGUGAGUAACACGUGGGAACGUACCCUUUGGUUCGGAGUAACUUGGGGAAACUCAAGCUAAUACCGGAUAAGCCCUUAUGGGGAAAGGUUUACUGCCGAAGGAUCGGCCCGCGUCUGAUUAGCUAGUUGGUGAGGUAAUGGCUCACCAAGGCGACGAUCAGUAGCUGGUCUGAGAGGAUGAUCAGCCACACUGGGACUGAGACACGGCCCAGACUCCUACGGGAGGCAGCAGUGGGGAAUAUUGGACAAUGGGGGCAACCCUGAUCCAGUCAUGCCGCGUGAGUGAUGAAGGCCUUAGGGUUGUAAAGCUCUUUUACCCGGGACGAUAAUGAUUGUACCGGGAGAAUAAGCCCCGGCUAACUUCGUGCCAGCAGCCGCCGUAA